CUUCACGAAUUAACUGAGUGACCUACAUCAAAUCCUAGCGUGUCCUAGGGCCUUGGUUUUGCCUUCUGUAAAAGGAAGAGGCUGCACAAGUUGUCCAAAAGUCCUCCAGCUCUAAAAUUCUAAGGGUCUCCUCCUUUCAGGUCCUUAGCUGGCUUUCUACCGAAUUAAAAAUUUAAAACCCAUAUGAAAACGUGAGCUAGACAAAAGAAUUAAAUGUUUGAACUUCGGUCGGCCUACUUUAUGUUUGUUCAAAACUGUUGACCAUUUCCGAUCCAGUGCAGGUGAUAUUUCACGUUCACAGUUGACAGAAAUCUCUUGAAUUUCAGCCUCCGCUAAGGAGCGACACUGCGCUUGUUUAUGCCUAGCCAGAAUGGAAUGGCUGCGGUAUACACAGUGGUAUUUGCCAAGUAAUUUCAUUCUUUAUAUUCCCCAUGAAGGCCCUCCAGAGUGGAUCAGCAUAACUCUAUUUAGCUGAGAUACUGACAGGGCUGGGAAGAAACCCUGCUGAAAGGGCGGUUACAGUUCCAACUUUGAUUCCCUGAAGGAUACUUAUAACAACCACAUAUUAGACCAAGAAUGCACAGAAAGAGUUUAUCUCUGGGGCCCCCCACACCACUUAUUUGGAUAGUGCUUUAGUUUGCAAAUUCAACUUGUUGAGUCAAAUUUAAGGCCAGUAACAUCUCAUCUAUCUGACAUCACAGCAGAAUGACAUCCCACUUAAAUGAAAAACUUGAGCGGCCUCCCCAUCAUCUGAUAGAGAACGUUCGUGUUUUCUUGAAUGCAGCCCUCUGAAAAUUACUUAGGCUUGGUCAUUAAAGAGCAGUGCUAUAAUUAUCAACAUUAUUGUAUGCCAUUUUAAUCAGUGAAUGUUCUCUAAAAUAUGCAAAAUUUGUCCCUAUAAUAAAUGGCCUCUAGGAUGCUGGUUUUUGUGUUUUUGUUUUGUUUUGAACUUCUGUUUUUGCUAUCUCCUUCCUCACUACUGGGCUGACACUUCUCUAUUCUUCUACCUAACAACCUUCUUUCCUACUUUUUUGAUGCGUCUAUGCCAUUAUGAACUUGGACAUCGAUAAACUUUUAUUAGCUUAGACUCUCAGGUUUUGUAGAAAGAUUUUCUGUGGGGUUCUCCUGUGUUAAGUACAUAAGUUCUUGUGACAUUUAUUUUCACUGGUCAGUGAAUGGUGUUCACUUCUGUCUUAAAUUUUGGAGGUAUUCUCAGUAACUGUGGUUUCUGAAUAUGGGGACUCUGGGAAAAUGUUGCA
rnacentral:lncRNA from 1 species